rnacentral:tRNA from 3 species
AGGAGCGUAGCUCAGUUGGCUAGAGCACUGGUUUCCAAAACCAGGGGUCGGGGGUUCGAGUCCUCCCGCUCCUGCCA